GAGAGUUUGGAUAAGUAGCUAAUAAUAGGGAAGGGUAGUCAACAUGGGUGUUGCUAGCUUAACCCCUUAAGGACCAAACUUCUGGAAUAAAAGGGAAUCAUGACAUGUCACACAUGUCAUGUGUCCUUAAGGGGUUUUAAACACCUGUGGUUUGAUCCCUAACAAAAACGUUAUGACCCCCUACUCUAACAGCAAGGUUAUGUCCCCUUCUGUCUACACAUGAAUAAGGGGCUAGUAAUGCUUUCUGGGAUAUCAAAGCAAACAUAGCUGGAUACAACAUGCUCAGCAGCUCUGUACAAUAGGUAAAACCAGACAAGUAAUUCAUUCUAGCAAACCAUGUUUGACAUAUGGGAACAGUAGGUGAUGAGGGCCCAACCAAAACAGACUUGCAAUCUAAAAGGAAUAAAGG